AGUCUUACGUGUUUGUUCACCGACUUACGCGAUUAUUCGCUUGUUACUGUUCAUGGGGUUCUAAGAUAAAACAUUGGAAUUAAAUAAGUAAAACCCCACAAAGUGUCUGCCUUAUCAACUGCCGAUGGUAGGUUAAGCGCCUGCCAUAGCCGUAACUGGUGACGUUAAAUUAGGGUUCGAUUCCGGAGAGGAAGCCUGAGAAACGGCUACCACAUCCAAGGAAGGCAGCAGGCGCAAAAAUUACAGGCUCCCAUAACGGGUAGGUAGUGGCGAAAAAUAACAACAUGAGAUUCUUUUGAGGCCCUGUAACUGGAAUGCGUGCAUUCUAAAUCCUCAACGUGGAUCAAUUGGAGGGCAAGUCUGGUGCCAGUAGCCGCGAUAAUUCCAGCUCCAAUAGCGUAUAUU
rnacentral:ncRNA from 1 species